AAGGAAUAUUGCUCAAUGGGAGAAAUCCUGAAGCAGCAACGCCGCGUGGAGGAUGAAGGGUCUAUGACUUGUAAACUCCUGUAAAGAAGGAAAAAAUUCCCAUUAGAUGGGAGAUGAUGGUACUUCUGGAGUAAGCCCCGGCUAACUACGUGCCAGCAGCCGCGGUAAUACGUAGGGGGCAAGCGUUGUCCGGAUUUACUGGGUGUAAAGGGUGCUCAGGCGGAUUUGUAAGUCAGAGGUGAAAUCUUACAGCUUAACUGUGAAACUGCCUUUGAUACUGCAAGCCUAGAGUAUGGAAGAGAGAGAUGAAAUAUCUGGUGUAGCAGUGAAAUGCGUAGAUAUCAGAUAGAACACCAGUGGCGAAGGCAGUCACUUAGUCCAUUACUGACGCUAAAGCACGAAAUCGUGGGUAGCAAACA
rnacentral:rRNA from 1 species